UAUUUCAUCGGUAUGGGAUGGGGUCGCGUCCUAUCAGGUAGUCGGCGGGGUAACGGCCCACCGAGCCUACGACGGGUAGCCGGCCUGAGAGGGCGACCGGCCACAUUGGGACUGAGAUACGGCCCAGACUCCUACGGGAGGCAGCAGUGGGGAAUAUUGCACAAUGGGCGCAAGCCUGAUGCAGCGACGCCGCGUGCGGGAUGACGGCCUUCGGGUUGUAAACCGCUUUUGAUCGGGAGCAAGCCUUCGGGUGAGUGUACCUUUCGAAUAAGCACCGGCUAACUACGUGCCAGCAGCCGCGGUAAUACGUAGGGUGCAAGCGUUAUCCGGAAUUAUUGGGCGUAAAGGGCUCGUAGGCGGUUCGUCGCGUCCGGUGUGAAAGUCCAUCGCUUAACGGUGGAUCUGCGCCGGGUACGGGCGGGCUGGAGUGCGGUAGGGGAGACUGGAAUUCCCGGUGUAACGGUGGAAUGUGUAGAUAUCGGGAAGAACACCAAUGGCGAAGGCAGGUCUCUGGGCCGUUACUGACGCUGAGGAGCGAAAGCGUGGGGAGCGAACAGGAUUAGAUACCCUGGUAGUCCACGCCGUAAACGGUGGAUGCUGGAUGUGGGGCCCGUUCCACGGGUUCCGUGUCGGAGCUAACGCGUUAAGCAUCCCGCCUGGGGAGUACGGCCGCAAGGCUAAAACUCAAAGAAAUUGACGGGGGCCCGCACAAGCGGCGGAGCAUGCGGAUUAAUUCGAUGCAACGCGAAGAACCUUACCUGGGCUUGACAUGUUCCCGACAGCCGUAGAGAU
rnacentral:rRNA from 1 species